rnacentral:rRNA from 1 species
GUGGGGAAUAUUGGGCAAUGGGCGAAAGCCUGACCCAGCAACGCCGCGUGAGGGAAGAAGGCCUUCGGGUUGUAAACCUCUGUCCUUGGUGACGAAAAAAAUGACGGUAGCCAAGGAGGAAGCCCCGGCUAACUACGUGCCAGCAGCCGCGGUAAUACGUAGGGGGCGAGCGUUGUCCGGAAUUACUGGGCGUAAAGGGUGCGUAGGUGGCCUUUUAAGUUGGAUGUGAAAUACCCGGGCUUAACUUGGGGGGUGCAUCUAAUACUGGAGGGCUAGAGUGCAGGAGAGGGAAGCGGAAUUCCUAGUGUAGCGGUGAAAUGCGUAGAUAUUAGGAGGAACACCAGUGGCGAAGGCGGCUUUCUGGACUGUAACUGACACUGAGGCACGAAAGCGUGGGGAGCAAACAGGAUUAGAUACCCGAGUAGUCC